rnacentral:rRNA from 1 species
UACGAAGGGAGCUAGCGUUGUUCGGAAUUACUGGGCGUAAAGGGCGCGUAGGCGGGUUUCCAAGUCGGGGGUGAAAGCCCCGGGCUCAACCUGGGAACGGCGCUUGAGACUGGUGCGCUCGAGUUCGGGAGAGGAUGGUGGGAUUCCCAGUGUAGAGGUGAAAUUCGUAGAUAUUGGGAAGAACACCGAUGGCGAAGGCAGCCAUCUGGACCGACACUGACGCUGAGGCGCGAAAGCGUGGGGAGCAAACAGG